rnacentral:rRNA from 1 species
UACCCGCGCCCCGAGUGGUGGCCACGAUUAUUGGGCUUAAAGCGUUCGUAGCCGGUCUUGCAAGUUCCUGGUGAAAUCGAUUGGCAAACCAAUCGGCUUGCUGGGAAGACUGCUUGACUUGGGACCGGGAGAGGUUAGAGGUACUCUAGGGGUAAGGGUAAAAAGCGAUUGACAACCUGGAAUGUAAAAUAAAGUUGUCUUUCCCUUACUCUCUUAUAAUCCCUGGGGGACCACCUGUGGCGAAG